rnacentral:misc_RNA from 1 species
AAGUCGUAACAAGGUUUCCGUAGGUGAACCUGCGGAAGGAUCAUUAACGAGUUUUUAAUUGUUAGAUUAGAGUUGAGCUGGUUAACUUUGUUAACAUCAGUGCUCGCUUUAGUUGACAAGUCCACUCAUCAUUUAACACUUGUGAACUUAUUCAUUAUAAACAUUAUCAUUUGUUAUUGGAACGUUUGAAUCAUAACAAGUUAAUACAACUUUCAACAACGGAUCUCUUGGUUCUC